rnacentral:rRNA from 1 species
UACGUAGGUGGCAAGCGUUGUCCGGAAUCAUUGGGCGUAAAGCGCGCGUAGGCGGCCCGGUAAGUCCGUUGUAAAAAGUCGAAGGCUCAACCUUCGAAAGCCGAUGGAUACUGCCGGGCUAGAGUCCGGAAGAGGCGAGUGGAAUUCCUGGUGUAGCGGUGGAAUGCGCAGAUAUCAGGAGGAACACCCAUAGCGAAGGCAGCUCGCUGGGACGGUACUGACGCUGAGGCGCGAAAGCGUGGGGAGCGAACAGG